UACGUAGGGUGCGAGCGCUGUCCGGAAUUAUUGGGCGUAAAGAGCUCGUAGGCGGUCUGUCGCGUCGGUCGUGAAAACUUGGGGCUUAACCCUGAGCUUGCGGUCGAUACGGGCAUGACUGGAGUUCGGCAGGGGAGACUGGAAUUCCUGGUGUAGCGGUGAAAUGCGCAGAUAUCAGGAGGAACACCGGUGGCGAAGGCGACAUCCUGGACCAAUACUGACGCUGAGUGAGCGAAAGCCAGGGGAGCAAACGGG
rnacentral:rRNA from 1 species